rnacentral:rRNA from 1 species
GACGAACGCUGGCGGCGUGGAUUAGGCAUGCAAGUCGAACGGUAGGAUACCUUCGGGUAUCUGAGAGUGGCGAACGGGUGAGUAACACGUAGGUGAUCUACCCUCAAGAUUGGGACAACCCAGGGAAACUUGGGCUAAUACCGGAUGAAAGCAGCAGUGAUGUUGUUUGAAAGGUGGCGUAAGCUGCCGUUUGGGGAUGAGCCUGCGCUCUAUUAGUUAGUUGGCGGGGUAAAGGCCCACCAAGGCGAUGAUAGAUAGGCGGCCUUAACGGGUGGUCGCCCACACUGGGAUUGAGAUACGGCCCAGACUCCUACGGGAGGCAGCAGUCGAGAAUAGUCUACAAUGGCCGAAAGGCUGAUAGUGCGACGCUGCGUGAACGAAGAAGCCCUUCGGGUGUAAAGUUCUUUUAUUAUGUGAGCAGUGCUUUCUAUGUGAACAGCAUGGGGAGAGAGAUAUUAGCAUAUGAAUAAGCAACGGCUAACUCCGUGCC